rnacentral:rRNA from 1 species
UACACUCCUACGGGAGGCAGCAGUGGGGAAUAUUGCACAAUGGGCGCAAGCCUGAUGCAGCCAUGCCGCGUGUAUGAAGAAGGCCUUCGGGUUGUAAAGUACUUUCAGCGGGGAGGAAGGCGAUAAGGUUAAUAACCUUGUCGAUUGACGUUACCCGCAGAAGAAGCACCGGCUAACUCCGUGCCAGCAGCCGCGGUAAUACGAAGGGUGCAAGCGUUAAUCGGAAUUACUGGGCGUAAAGCGCACGCAGGCGGUCUGUCAAGUCGGAUGUGAAAUCCCCGGGCUCAACCUGGGAACUGCAUUCGAAACUGGCAGGCUAGAGUCUUGUAGAGGGGGGUAGAAUUCCAGGUGUAGCGGUGAAAUGCGUAGAGAUCUGGAGGAAUACCGGUGGCGAAGGCGGCCCCCUGGACAAAGACUGACGCUCAGGUGCGAAAGCGUGGGGAGCAAACAGGAUUAGAAACCCCAGUAGUCCCAUG